rnacentral:rRNA from 1 species
UGGGGAAUUUUGCACAAUGGGGGAAACCCUGAUGCAGCGACGCCGCGUGAUUUAGAAGGCCUUCGGGUUGUAAAAAUCUUUUCUAUGGGAAGAAAAUGACAGUACCAUAGGAAUAAGGACCGGCUAAUUACGUGCCAGCAGCCGCGGUAAUACGGAAGGUCCGAGCGUUGUCCGGAAUCAUUGGGCGUAAAGGGUACGUAGGCGGGUAAGCAAGUUAGAAGUGAAAUCCUAUAGCUCAACUAUAGUAAGCUUUUAAAACUGCUCAUCUUGAGGUAUGGAAGGGAAAGUGGAAUUCCUAGUGUAGCGGUGAAAUGCGCAGAUAUUAGGAGGAAUACCGGUGGCGAAGGCGACUUUCUGGCCAUAACCUGACGCUGAGGUACGAAAGCGUGGGUAGCAAACAGG